GCCUGGGUGGCUCAGUCGGUUGAGCAUCUGACUUUGGCUCAGGUCAUGAUCUUACAGUUUGUGGGUUCGAGCCCCACGUCAGGCU
rnacentral:tRNA from 2 species